rnacentral:rRNA from 1 species
UGGGGAAUAUUGGACAAUGGGCGAAAGCCUGAUCCAGCCAUGCCGCGUGUGUGAAGAAGGCCUUCGGAUUGUAAAGCACUUUAAGUUGGGAGGAAGGGCAGUAAGCGAAUACCUUGCUGUUUUGACGUUACCGACAGAAUAAGCACCGGCUAACUCUGUGCCAGCAGCCGCGGUAAUACAGAGGGUGCAAGCGUUAAUCGGAAUUACUGGGCGUAAAGCGCGCGUAGGUGGUUCGUUAAGUUGAAUGUGAAAGCCCCGGGCUCAACCUGGGAACUGCAUCCGAAACUGGCGAGCUAGAGUAGGGCAGAGGGUGGUGGAAUUUCCUGUGUAGCGGUGAAAUGCGUAGAUAUAGGAAGGAACACCAGUGGCGAAGGCGACCACCUGGGCUCAUACUGACACUGAGGUGCGAAAGCGUGGGGAGCAAACAGG